rnacentral:rRNA from 1 species
GACGAACGCUGGCGGCGCGCUUAACACAUGCAAGUCGAGCGAAGCGGCGGACGGGUGAGUAACACGUGAGUAACCUGCCUUAGACAUUGGGAUAGCCUCGGGAAACCGGGAUUAAUACCAAAUGGUCUAAGAUGGACUCGCGUCCCAUUAGCUAGUUGGUGAGGUAACGGCCCACCAAGGCGACGCUGGGUAGCCGGCCUGAGAGGGUGAACGGCAACUUUGGAACUGGGAAACGUGCCAAACUCUACGGGAGGCAGCAUGGUGGAAUAUUGCACAAUGGAGGGAACUCUGAUGCAGCUACGCCGCGUGAACGAAGAAGGCUUUCGAGUCGUAAAGUUCUUUUAUAUGGGAAGCGGUACCAUAAGAAAAAGCCCCGGCUAACUACGUGCCAGCCGCCGCGGUAAUAC